CUGAUUUCAUUUUCCAGACACUGAAAGAGCAGAAUGGCUAAAUAAGACUGUAAAACACAUGUGGCCUUUCAUUUGCCAAUUUAUAGAAGUUGUUUAGAAACUAUAGAACCAGCUGUGCGGGAAGCAAACACCCACCUUAGCACCUUUAGUUUCACGAAGGUCAGCGCGUGGGCCAGCAGCCCCUCAGGAUCAAUGGUGUUAAGGUAUACACUGAAAAUGUAGACAAAAGGCAAAUUAUUUUGGACCUUCAGAUUAGCAGGGACCAGGUUUCACCAUGUUGGCAAGGCUGGACACGAAUUCCUGACUUUAACUGAACCACCCGCCUCGGCCUCCCAAAGUGCUGGGAUUACAGGCAUCAGCCACUGCACCAGCCAGAUUAUAGCAAGAUUACAAUGUAGUGAAUUAUCGUAAUUUUGUGUUGCCUCAGCACCCAUUUUUAAGGGAAGUUUAACUUUCCUACGCCAGAAGGAGAGCUCAGUCACCCUUGACGCAGUUUUCAGGUUCUACAUCUCCUCCCAGUUCCUCAAGGUGGUCAGUCUUUGCACAACUGCCUCCCGGUGCCCACCUCCACAUGGGACAGCUACAUACAGCCCACUCGACUAGCCCUGCAUACUCUAUGUAGUGGGACGGAUGGCUGCACAUGAGAUUUCAAGUCAUAGUGGGUGCCUUCGGACUGCUUGUUUGUUUAACUAUGCUCAUCAGAUGCCUUACUAGGUGGCUGACUCAGGUUUCUCCAGGAGCCUUUAGUGUCUCUGCUACUCAAAUAGCACCCGUGAUAAGGCACAAGGUCUAAUGCCCAGACAUUCCAGGGUCAAUUUCAAUGGUAUUGACACAGCAGAGGUUGCUGCCUAUGUAUUAGAAGUAGAACACCACACCCAAAUGGCCCAAAAGCCAGUGGCCAAGGAUGAAAACCUCAGAGGAAUCUCUUCUGCCUAGAUGAUAGUCCCCACUUGUCCACCACUUCCUUUAAAUGGACCAUUCAGGUAUUUGCCCUUGAACUUAAAGUCACCCACACGGUAUUCUCCAAUAUAUACUGCUAAUUUCUGCACUCUUUCUCCCUGCCUAUACUCCCUGACCUAACCUCUGUGUGGCGGGCCUUCGAGCAUGUCAUCUACUACCAGAACCUGUAAGUAAUAAAAUCUUUAUUUCUAUUUUGUGUCUCUCUUAAUCAUUGAAGGGUUGCUCUCCAUCUUACUUAAAGAUCGUAAGUUUUAAAUACAGGAUGCAAAGUUAAUAAACAAGUCAAUUACUUUUCUAUAUGCCAGCAAUAAACAAUUGGGAUUUAAAAAUUAAAAAUACAAUAACACUGAACAUUAGCACUUAAAAAGUACUUAGUAAUUAAAAAAAAAUGGGUACAAGGUCCAUAUAAGGAAAUCUAAUGAAAUCAGAAAAAGUUCUAAGUAAAUGGAAAGAUAUUCCAUGUUUAUGGAUAGAAGCUCAAUCUUUUAAAAAAGACGCCAAUUCUUCCUAAUUUCAUCUAUAGAUUCAAUGUAAUCCAAUCAAAAUCCCAGCAGGUUACUUUGUAAAUACUGACAAACUGAUUCUAAACAUUAUAUGAAAAAAGGCAAAAAGACCGAAGAUAGCCAACACAAUAUUGAAGAAGAUACAAGUUGGAAGACUAACACUGCCCUAAAGGCUUAUAAAGCUACAAUAAUCAAUAAAGUAUAGUGUUGGCCAAAGACAGACCAAGCUAGAUCAGUGAAGAAAGAACAAAGAACAAACAGAUCCACACAAAUAUAGUUAGCAGAUAUUCUGACACGAAUUAAAAGCAAUUCAACAGAUAAUGUAUGGUCUUUUCCAGAAAUGACACUGGAAUGUUUAGGCACACACAUGCCAAAAAAAAAAAAACAAAAAAAGGAAAAAAAAAA